CCUACGGGCGGCAGCAGUCGAGAAUCAUUCACAAUGGGGGAAACCCUGAUGGUGCGACGCCGCGUGGGGGAAUGAAGGUCUUCGGAUUGUAAACCCCUGUCAUGUGGGAGCAAAUUAAAAAGAUAGUACCACAAGAGGAAGAGACGGCUAACUCUGUGCCAGCAGCCGCGGUAAUACAGAGGUCUCAAGCGUUGUUCGGAAUCACUGGGCGUAAAGCGUGCGUAGGCUGUUUCGUAAGUCGUGUGUGAAAGGCGCGGGCCCAACCCGCGGACGGCACAUGAUACUGCGAGACUAGAGUAAUGGAGGGGGAAGCGGAAUUCGCGGUGUAGCAGUGAAAUGCGUAGAUAUCGAGAGGAACACUCGUGGCGAAGGCGGGUUCCUGGACAUUAACUGACGCUGAGGCACGAAGGCCAGGGGAGCGAAAGGGAUUAGAUACCCCUGUAGUC
rnacentral:rRNA from 1 species